rnacentral:lncRNA from 1 species
CUCAGCAUGGCUUGAUGAGCAGUGCCAUGUCUGCACCCAGGAGUCCAACCAACGAAAGACUGGGGCGCCUGCAGCGGAGCGUGAGGACUUACCCACUUGGUCACGAGAGGGUGACAUCAAGAAGAAUUUUCACACAUGCAGAUUUCAAGACUCUUAUAGGAGAAAGUAUAAUUAUAGACACAUACUUUGGAUUACAGGACUCCAGAUCUCUAGGAACUACUCAAAACACCAAUUAUCACAGAACUGAAGCUGCCCAGUAAUCCUCCUUUGUUGCCGAACUUUGAAGCUUGGAAGUAGCAUAAAUGAAGAUUGAUUGCAAGAUUUCGCAGGGACUCACAGGCACCCAGAUUGGGGUGAAACGGAGGCAGCGUCAAUCUGAGGAAUGGAUUUCACAUUUGGUACUAUUCGACUCCAGAUGAAGUAAAAUGUGGCUUUACCUCCAAUGUAAAUAUUGAUCACCAUGAAACCACCGACUCAGUUUGGCAUGCAAAAGUGCCGUGCCAGCACCACCUGAUGGGAAGAAUGUCCAAACUGAGGAAGAAUGUCCUUGUGACUGUUAAUGUGGAUCUAUGACUUUGAAGUGGAGCACCCACUAUCCCAAAGAUAUUUUUCCAACCCCUUGGACAUAGUGUUUCUCUUGUUAUGUGAAAUCACGUGAUUGAUUGUGAAAAAGGAUAUGAAUUUGGAUAUCUUAGUCCAGUCUUGUAGCCUAACAUAAAAACC